UGGGGCUGGAUUCACCUUAAGGCUUCCUCACUCACGUCUGGCAGUUGAUACUGGCUGAGAGCUGGGGUCUCAGCAGGGACCACUGACUGGAACACUGACAUGUGGUCCUGCUGGGUGCCUGGACUUCCUCGCAGCACAAAAGGCAAAGACACCCAGUGGAAGCACUGGAUUCCAAGAAAUUGAAUUCCUUGGAAGGAGAGAUUUAAGACUCAAUGGAUUUUGGAAGUCAGUUUGGCACAAAGACCCUGGAACAGCUUCCGGUGCUAGAAGCAGAGUUUCCUAUUGCUAAGGUGGAAGAUCAUGAGACAAUCAGGAAACACGCCUCUUCCAUGGCUUGAGGUCAAGUCUAAGCUUGCUCAGUAUCUUGUUAUAGCCUCAAUGCUGAGCACCUGCCCUUCUUGGUCCAAGCAACAUACCACCGAUUCCACAGUCCUCAGGGACCACUCCAGCCAGAUUCAAGCUUUUUCUCCCCCGGACUCACCC